rnacentral:rRNA from 1 species
CCUACGGGAGGCUGCAGUGAGGAAUAUUGGUCAAUGGUCGGGAGCCUGAACCAGCCAAGUCGCGUGAGGGAUGAAGGUACUGUGUAUCGUAAACCUCUUUUGUCAGGGAAUAAAGUCGGGGACGCGUCCUAGGAUGUGUGUACCUCAUGAAUAAGCAUCGGCUAACUCCGUGCCAGCAGCCGCGGUAAUACGGAGGAUGCGAGCGUUAUCCGGAUUUAUUGGGUUUAAAGGGUGCGGAGGCGGCCUGUUAAGUCAGCGGGCAAAGGCCGGGGCUCAACCCUGGCAUCGCCGUUGAAACUGGCAGGCUUGAGUAUGAGUGAGGUAGGCGGAAUGCGCGGUGUAGCGGUGAAAUGCAUAGAUAUCGCGCAGAACCCCGAGUGCGAAGGCAGCAUGCCGGGUCCACACUGACGCUGAUGCACGAAAGCGUGGGGAUCAAACAGGAUUAGAUACCCGAGUAGUC